AUGGAGGGUGGUACCUCUAGCAAGAGACGAGUAGAAGCCCAUGGAGAUGGGGAGAGCAGCGGCAAGAGGCGGAAUGUCAGCAUGGGGAUGGACGCCCUCGACUGCCCCGUCUGCUUUCAUCCCCUAAAACCUCCGAUAUACCAGCACAAGUGGCCGUCUACAACCAUCAAAUACUCUGAAGAUGUCACGUUCCGCCUAGAACCAGGCUUACACUUUCUGCGUACCAAAGACAGACAAAUUUUCCUACUCAACGUGGUACUAGAGCCUGUCGGGCAUGGCAUCUCUGUCGUCUGCAUCCAACCUAAAGCUACAAACUUCAAGUUCAAAUGUACAGUGUCCUACCACUCCUUUAGUACCAGCUAUUAUCAGAUAUCAGUUUACAAGAUACGAAGCUCAUCAUUGUCUGAUGGGCUACCGAAGGGAUACAACUUAAUUCUGCCCAAAGAUGAGAUAGCUGAUGAUGGAAAGGGUACCUUGCUUACGUUCUCCAUUGAUGAUCCUAAUCCUAAAGCAAAGGUGCAUGAGCCCAUAUGUCUGAAACCAGUACACGGUGUAUGA
rnacentral:rRNA from 1 species